AAAUAUUUUCAGAUGUAUAACUGUUACAGGUCACUGAUCAGUAACAGUCGCCAAUGGAUAUUUCCUAAUGGUAUUCAGGCUGGAAGGCUCUGAAUUGAGCUGUGGUACAGACCUGCCUCGCUGUUGGUCAGCCAAUUACAGUUGAAAUCGGUGGUGGUGGCACAUCUGUAGGUCAGUUCUCAGCUUGCACUCAUUGCAUGGUUGCCAAAUGCUUCCUUCUGUCACAGAAACAGCAACGGCACGAAAGGUGAAAAGCAAGAGAAACGACCCAGAAUCACUUUUCUUGGCAGCAAGUGGCAAAGCUUACCCUGAGUUUGUCCUGACCUACCUAGAGGAACUAAAUGAAAGAGAGGAGGUGACCCAGACAGAAAACCGUAUUCACCAUGGGGCCUGGGCUGCAGCUCAUCAGGAGAUAGACAGCAGCUCAGCAGAAGAGGUCACACUAUUAAGCCAGAGGCAGGUUCUGCAAAAAAAAAAAAAAAUAUGUCAGCAACCCCAAUCAGAAACAACUUUCAGGACCUUUGGACGCCCAUUUAAUGCCUGCAGAUCCCCUAGGGGAGACUCCACAGCUGACAGUGGCACUGGUGAGGAAACCAGAAGCGAAACCUCCUAAGGCCCCAGCU